ensembl:lncRNA novel transcript
GCAUCAUUCACUGACAGUUCCCUUCCAUAUCCCCUGGUCCCUACUGUUUCCAGUGUGGAUCAGCUAAUUUGCAACCACCACUAUCUGCAUCUGUGCCUACCUCAGGGUUCGCUCCAAAAUGCAGAAGACUGCUCUGCCUGUGGCAGGACAGAAGUGACAUUCCCUGGAGCAGCCCUCAACUCAUGGCUGCCAGGAGUUAGUGUAUAAAUUGCCCCAAAGCUCUCUAUAAAGUGGUUUUAUUUUUGAUGUCUCAUUUGACCUAUACAACAAUUCUGGAAGGAAGAAAGUUAUAUUAAACAAGGCCAACAGUGGAGUGUAAUCCCUGUAUUCUUUUUUGUUCUCUCAUCUAUCCCAAGAAUACUGCUCAGAAAAUUAUAGAUGCUCAAUAAAUAAUUGAUGAAUAAAGGAAGAAA